AGGGUUGGGCUCUAGCCGGGAGUCGACGAAGGGAGCGCGGGCGGGGAGCGCGGGCGCGCGCCCGCGUCGGCGCACGGAGAGUCGCAUCGGCCGCUCGCUUUCUCGUCUGCCGCCUCGCGCCUCGAUCCUGUUCCGCCUCCCUCGGCCCUCCUGCCCGCCCCCGCUCGUCGGCCCUCAGAUCUUUCUGAGACAUCCCCAGAAAGCGUUGCAAGCUGUGAUUACACCUAAUGUGAGAGCAUGAACUAAUUUAAGAGGUACCUAAAAUGUGUCAUUAUUCAUCAAUUAAUGAAAAACAAAUGAAAAUUUCAGAGAGAUAUUCUGAAGAAUAAAAGGAUCAAGUUGGGUCAUUUCUAAAAUGCAAUUGUAUAAAUACUUCCCACAGCUCAGAGACCUAAUAGGAUGGGGUCUUAGAGAAACAUCUGUUGAGCCACAGACUUCUUUGUUACCAGAAGGAAAAUGAAAGAAGAAAUUUAAAUACCACUUGAAGAGAGUUUCCUCAUCAGCAAAGUCAGAAAAAGUAUGUACCUGAAGGACUGACUGUAAGGCUGGGAUGAGAGAAUCUAUGUGAUCAGCCCUCACCAACAGGUGCUGCCCACUUCAUGAGUGCUGCUGCUGUCCUGCCCAAGUACCCAGCUUGCAGAGUGCCGGAGUUAGAGUCCCAGGGGUGUUCUCCACAGCUGCAUGCUUGAUCCAGGCCUAUCAGCAUUGUCUUUGAAUAUUAGCAAGUAAUGGAACAUGGGCCAAGGGUGAACCAUGAUGAAUUCGUGUUCCAGCAGCCCUGCUUCUUUAGAAUUGACAGUCUGGCUUCGUGGUUAAUUCACAGCAUCUGAGGAAUACAUCAGAAGAGGGUGAUACUGUGGCAUGAUGGUACCAGGAUUCCAAGUUCAUUCCAGUUACCAACAGUUCAUGAUGAUCUUCAGAAAUGUUCACAGUUUCAGAGGAGCCACAUACUUGAAUGUUUAAAGAAAGCAAUAUUUUGCAAAACACAAGGAUGAUCCAAGAGAGCCACAGGAGGAUCCAGCAGCCCUUUGUCGGGAAAUGAAGAUCAUUGGGUAGAGACUGGAAAUGUACCGAGCAGUGCACAAAGAAGAUGAGGAGGGUUCUACAGUUUCUCCAGAUACAUACCAUGACAAUUUUUUUUUUAAAAAAGAAGAAAGCCUGCAGGAAAAAAUCUACAACUUUCAUCAAAUUACUCAGGGAGACUUUAUUCUAAAGAGACUGAAAACCACCGACAUCAAUUUUGACUCCUAUGGGCAUCUGUAAAUAGCUUCAAGAUUUUAAGGUGAAAUGUCAUGUACCAUAAUACACAUUCUGGAGAAGCAGGAAGCUACAGGCUAACUUGAGAUGAAAGUCUCAGAUCAACGUUUUCCCAAGUGUGUUCCUUGGAAUACAGGUUGACAUGAUAUGAUGCCCAGCAAGGGAAACAAAACAUAUUCAUGUUCAAAUUAGUUGGGGAAAUGCUGGACUAAAUAAGGUUUGAUGAGAUUCUUUUUUCUGCAGGACUUCUCAGAGCCUUUAAUAUUCUAACAUGCUUCGUGACUCUCUAGAAGGGGCUACAGUAGGCAAUGCUUCCCAGAUUUACCUAAUAAAAGCAUUGUUUCUGUGGGAGUUUCAUUUGUUAUUACAUGUUUCCUGAAUGCAGAUUCAUAGAUUAUCCGUUGGGGAACCCUCAUCCUCACGGGAUGUAUGUUCAUGGUGGUGUCUUCAAAUUUGUGCCCUUGUGAAGCAUUCUGGCAGCAAGCAUCUGAACACUUCCAAAAGGGGACGAUAUUUAGGAGAAAUCGCUCAGCCUGAGUUAGAGCAAAUACAGCAGCUGGUGUCUCUUGGUGCCUGGGAGCCCUAGAGUGUCAGAGGGAGGAGCGUGCACACUGGAACCAGCAGCCUGGUGCUGUGUCUCAGCUCUGUCGCUAACUGGCUAUGCACCUCUGGGCAUGGCACUUAACCCUUCUGAGCCCCAGCCUGCCAUCUGUAAAAAGGGCUUGAUGCGAGGAUUGAAUGAGAUCACGCAGGGAACACAAUGUCUGGCACUUGGAAGCAUCCACCAUAAAGAGUCAAGGCAGUAGAUGGCCCAUCUGGGUUUGGUCUAUGCAAAGUUUACCCUCUGCCCUGGUGGCUCCAGGAAAUGCUGCCACGUGGCUCCUAUUGCCUUAACCACAUCCGACCUGUUCCUGACAGCUCCCCACAUCUCCAGCUCCUUUGCUGGUGCUCCAGGCACCUCCAAAUGUGGCAAGCCCCUCUCCUCUGCCCUCUUGUGGCAGCUGACCUGGCAGGAGUGGUACCAAGACGUCCAAGGCGACUCCUUCCCACCUGCAUGGGCACUUUCCUUAGGACAUCCUUGCCCCCAGCACCACCUUGGGCCAGCAAGCCACAUGGAAAUGGAUGCAGAGGCACCACUGUUUGCUGACAAUUAUACACUGUCCUUAAGGUCACCCUUGGCGAUCUGUCGCCAGGAGCAGACAAACCCGCACCGCAUCCAUCCCAUCAGAGCUUGUUUCUAUCUGCAUCUGUCAUCGCUGAUCGAAUUUGAAUGGGUUUAGUCUCUAUUUUAAA